rnacentral:rRNA from 1 species
GGGUUGUGAGGUUAAGCGACUAAGCGUACACGGUGGAUGCCUAGGCAGUCAGAGGCGAUGAAGGGCGUGCUAAUCUGCGAAAAGCGUCGGUAAGCUGAUAUGAAGCGUUACAACCGACGAUACCCGAAUGGGGAAACCCAGUGCAAUUCGUUGCACUAUUGCAUGGUGAAUACAUAGCCAUGCAAGGCGAACCGGGGGAACUGAAACAUCUAAGUACCCCGAGGAAAAGAAAUCAACCGAGAUUCCCCCAGUAGCGGCGAGCGAACGGGGAAGAGCCCAGAGUCUGAAUCAGUUUAUGUGUUAGUGGAAGCGUCUGGAAAGUCGCACGGUACAGGGUGAUAGUCCCGUACACAAAAAUGCAUAUUCUGUGAACUCGAUGAGUAGGGCGGGACACGUGACAUCCUGUCUGAAUAUGGGGGGACCAUCCUCCAAGGCUAAAUACUCCUGACUGACCGAUAGUGAACCAGUACCGUGAGGGAAAGGCGAAAAGAACCCCGGCGAGGGGAGUGAAAUAGAACCUGAAACCGUGUACGUACAAGCAGUGGGAGCACCUUCGUGGUGUGACUGCGUACCUUUUGUAUAAUGGGUCAGCGACUUAUAUUUUGUAGCAAGGUUAACCGAAUAGGGGAGCCGUAGGGAAACCGAGUCUUAACUGGGCGUCUAGUUGCAAGGUAUAGACCCGAAACCCGGUGAUCUAGCCAUGGGCAGGUUGAAGGUUGGGUAACACUAACUGGAGGACCGAACCGACUAAUGUUGAAAAAUUAGCGGAUGACUUGUGGCUGGGGGUGAAAGGCCAAUCAAACCGGGAGAUAGCUGGUUCUCCCCGAAAGCUAUUUAGGUAGCGCCUCGUGAACUCAUCUUCGGGGGUAGAGCACUGUUUCGGCUAGGGGGUCAUCCCGACUUACCAAACCGAUGCAAACUCCGAAUACCGAAGAAUGUUAUCACGGGAGACACACGGCGGGUGCUAACGUCCGUCGUGAAGAGGGAAACAACCCAGACCGCCAGCUAAGGUCCCAAAGUCAUGGUUAAGUGGGAAACGAUGUGGGAAGGCACAGACAGCCAGGAUGUUGGCUUAGAAGCAGCCAUCAUUUAAAGAAAGCGUAAUAGCUCACUGGUCGAGUCGGCCUGCGCGGAAGAUGUAACGGGGCUAAACCAUGCACCGAAGCUGCGGCAGCGA